CUCAAUUUUUUUAUCCGACCUUUCGGUGUCACAUUUUCCUAAACUGAGCUAAAAACAGGAAGCUCAUGUUCCCUAGUUAUGAGACUGAAAGAAACUAUCUGGCUUUAAUUGUCUCAUGGUUAUCGCAAGACUCGUGAUAAUUAUCUCACAGACAUGCUAAUAAUGGUGUGAACGGGCCCAGCGUUUCCCAGGGCAACCGUAAAAGACUCCCGCCCACGGACCGCUCUGAUUGGUUCCGGUACUCAGCGGAGUGUAGGAUUGGCUUAUACAGCUGCCAGUCUUCUCAACGAGUAGCAUUAUUUUGACCGUCUAUUCCCUGAGGAAAGCAGCAGGGUGAAGUGGAAGAGUAGAGUGGAAGAUAAGACGUUGUCUUACAAAACAGCUGGGCUCUGUAGGCUCUUACAAAGGAACUGCGUUUUACGAGAUGGUGAGCUGUAUGUACUGCUGUCUUCUUUUGAUGGCUACCUAGGCUUUUUCUGAAACUGUUCUCAGCUGAAAGUCUUUCUAUUGAGGGAACCCCAACAUGGAUCCUGACAAGAUCUCCUAUGUGAGGCUGAAUGAGGAGAAAGUUAUUGCAAAGUCUGAUAUUUUGUCCCUUCUAAAAACGUACAACUGCUACCACGAGGGAAAAAGCUUUCAGCUUCGCAUUCGUGAGGAAGAGGGCGAGCUGAUCGUGGAGGGUUUACUCAACAUCUCCUGGGGCCUGAAGAGGCCAAUCAGACUCCAAAUGCACGACGACAACGAGCGCUUUCGCUAUGCCUGCACGGGUGCGUGGAGGUCGGAAAGCUCAGAGUCCAGCAGGAAUGAAAACGGUGAGCAGAGUUUUUCACACCAGUUUUGUUUAGAGCCCAACAACAACAAAGUCAGUGCCACACCUGUACCCAGUAUGGAUGGUGCUGAGGAGGACAUUCCUCAACUGCUGAGAACAAGAAGUGAUGCCAGCUUUGUGAAUAUCCAAAGAAGAUCUAAAAUCCACAGCUCUGCCGAUUCACAGAGAAUAAAAAGACAUCGCUUCUCCAUCAAUGGCCAUUUCUACAACCACAAAACAUCAGUUUUUACUCCAUCAUAUGGAUCAGUGACGAAUGUGCGAGUGAACAGCACUUUAACAACACAUCAAGUUCUUAACCUGCUUCUUAAUAAGUUUCGGGUUGAGAAUAAGGCAGAUGAGUUUGCCCUCUACCUAGUCCAUGCAUCAGGGGAGAGAACAAAACUUAAGGACACAGAAUACCCUUUGGUAUCUCGCCUGCUGCAUGGUCCAUGUGAAAAAAUCGCCAGAAUAUUUAUUUUGGAAAAGGACCUUGGUGAAGAGAUUACAUACGAUGUGAGUAUUUUUGUGAGUAUUUCAAAGUUCACAAUAGGUCAUUCAGAAUGUGAUUCCCCUGGCAAACUUAUAUUCUGUUGUUCAAAUAUAGAUACAGUAAACAAUAAUGUCACUUCCAGAUAUCAAGUCUAAUUUUAGGAUCCUACCAAGUGGACUAACAAUGGUACAAAUAUUUCUAUUGCAUAUUUAUUCAAAGGUUGCACAGUAUAUUAAGUUUGAAAUGCCCGUUUUGGACAGUUUCAUCAAGAAACUGAAAGAGGAGGAAGAGAGAGAGAUUUUAAAACUGACAAGAAAGUAAGCAAGUACAAUAUUCUUUGUUUCCUUAACACAACAAUAUAUUCAUUUUUGUCUUUGUUGUACUUUUGUUUUUUACAGAUACAGUGCACUGAGGUCAAUGAUAUUACAGAAAUUGGAUGGCAUCUCUGACAGUGCAAAUUAUGCGUGAGAAAAUGUGCUGAUGGUUUAGAGCAGAGGCAUCUUCUCUAUUGUAUAUUCAACAGCAGUGAGCCACAGAUAGUUUUAGGUUUUUCAUUUUUGGUGAAGACGUCAGCGCAAUAACUAGUAUAAGAAAAGUAUAAUCUACUGGUAUUUAGUAAUUAGCAGCUGUAAGUACUUUUACCCACAAUUCUCAGGUGUUACUUACAAAUGACCUAGAAUGUUAUUUUAUGAUGCAUUUAUGCUCCAUGACAUUAAAAGACAUUUUUUGUCAUUGUAUGUUACAUAAUAUAUACACGCCUGACAAGUUUGUACAGUAACAAUGUUACCUUUUAUACAUUUUAAAAUGAAACUAAUAUAUGAGGAAUUGUUCUGUUGUACAAUAUCAGUGAAAUGCAAUUACCCUGCCUCCUUGUUUAUUUUAGAUGCCUUUUUGCUACACAUAUGUAGCCGAUGUAUUGAAUAUAAUGCAUUGCUUACAAUGUUGUUAUUUAUUUUUGUUUGUUUCUAAGAAAUGCCUUAUACUGUAUGGACAGAGAUGUACAGUAAUUGUCAAUUAUGUGCGUGCCUACCCAUGAUAAGGAGGAGCAAAACUGUGCGUUUAUGUGUGUGUGUUCAAGGACUCAAAGAAAUGUGGUUCCACUGUGGUUUUACUCCUAUAAAAGGACAUUAGCCAUCUUGGUAGAGUUAACUGGAGUUCAAGGACAGAAGGAGGCAUACAGCUUGCACCUGCAAGGCCUUGAGAAGGAUCUUGGGAAAGUUACAACUUGCUUCAAAUCAAGAAGAUUAGAACCUAACUUUGGCGGUAAACAACAGGAGUAUAAAAGUUGAUUGCCUCUUCGGAUACUGAUAUGUCAGUACCCCCGAUACCUAGAAGCCUAGAGCUGAGGACAAGAAACCCGAAUCCCAGAAAUGAAUACACCUUUGAUUCAAAGUGUAAUUAUUGUAUUUUAUACUUUAAUAAUGAACAAUUUGCCUUUACAUUUUUGUUUAUUAUAAAAAGAAAUUGAAUUGAUUACAAAAA